rnacentral:rRNA from 1 species
UACAGAGGUCUCAAGCGUUGUUCGGAUUCAUUGGGCGUAAAGGGGUGCGUAGGCGGCGCGGUAAGUCGGGUGUGAAAUCUUGGAGCUUAACUCCGAAACUGCAUUCGAUACUGCCGUGCUUGAGGACUGGAGAGGAGACUGGAAUUUACGGUGUAGCGGUGAAAUGCGUAGAUAUCGUAAGGAAGACCAGUGGCGAAGGCGGGUCUCUGGACAGUUCCCUGACGCUGAGGCACGAAGGUCAGGGGAGCAAACGGG